CACGUAGGGUGCGAGCGUUGUCCGGAAUUAUUGGGCGUAAAGAGCUCGUAGGCGGUCUGUCGCGUCGGUCGUGAAAACUUGGGGCUUAACCCUGAGCUUGCGGUCGAUACGGGCAUGACUGGAGUUCGGUAGGGGAGACUGGAAUUCCUGGUGUAGCGGUGAAAUGCGCAGAUAUCAGGAGGAACACCGGUGGCGAAGGCGGGUCUCUGGGCCGAUACUGACGCUGAGGAGCGAAAGCGUGGGGAGCGAACAGG
rnacentral:rRNA from 1 species